GAUGAACGCUAGCGGCAGGCCUAAUACAUGCAAGUCGAACGAUACCAGAGAGCUUGCUUUCUGGGAAAGUGGCGCACGGGUGCGUAACGCGUAUGCAACCUACCUUAAUCAGGGGGAUAGCCUCUCGAAAAAGAGAUUAACACCGCAUAAAAUCACACUUCGGCAUCGAAGAAUGAUCAAAUAUUUAUAGGAUUAAGAUGGGCAUGCGUGACAUUAGCUAGUUGGUGAGGUAAUGGCUCACCAAGGCUACGAUGUCUAGGGGAUCUGAGAGGAUGGCCCCCCACACUGGUACUGAGACACGGACCAGACUCCUACGGGAGGCAGCAGUAAGGAAUAUUGGUCAAUGGAGGCAACUCUGAACCAGCCAUGCCGCGUGCAGGAAGACGGCCCUAUGGGUUGUAAACUGCUUUUAUACGGGAAUAAAUCACUUUACGUGUAAAGUGUUGAAUGUACUGUAAGAAUAAGGAUCGGCUAACUCCGUGCCAGCAGCCGCGGUAAGAC
rnacentral:rRNA from 1 species